AUACCCUAUUAUUUUUAAUGUAUGAAUUUUUUUACUUAGUAUUAUAAGUUAUGAUCUUUAAACUAAAAGAAUUUGGCGGUAUUUUAGUCUAUUUAGAGGAAUCUGUUUUUUAAUCGAUAAUCCACGUUGUACCUUACUUUAAUUAAUUCUUGUAUACCUCUGUUUUUGUGAAUACUUUUAGGUUAUAAAUUUUCUUUAUAAUUUAUUAUUUAAUAUUUCAAGUCAAGGUGCAGUUUACAUAUUAAAGUUUAAAAUGGAUUACAAUAAAAUUUAUUUAUUUUGAUGGAUAUAAGUUUUAAUUCUUAUUUGAAGGUGGAUUUAAUUGUAAUUAAAAAAGA
rnacentral:rRNA from 1 species